GGAGGGGGAAGCCGAGAGGGACCAGGGCGCCGUGGGCAGGAAGGAGGCUGAGGGUGAGGAGGGAGAGGAGGAGCCGCAGGAGCUGGAGCUGGACGAGG
rnacentral:miRNA from 1 species